AUUGAACGCUGGCGGCAGGCUUAACACAUGCGAGUCGAGCGGAGAUGAGGUGCUUGCACCUUAUCUUAGCGGCGGACGGGUGCGUAAUGCUUAGGAAUCUGCCUAUUAGUGGGGGACAACAUUCCUAAAGGAACGCUAAUACCGCAUACGUCCUUCGUGAGAAAGCAGAGGCUCUUCGGACCUUGCGCUAAUGGAUGAGCCUAAGUCGGAUUAGCUAGUUGGUGGGGUAAAGGCCUACCAAGGCGACGAUCUGUAGCGGGUCUGAGAGGAUGAUCCGCCACACUGGGACUGAGACACGGCCCAGACUCCUACGGGAGGCAGCAGUGGGGAAUAUUGGACAAUGGGGGGAACCCUGAUCCAGCCAUGCCGCGUGUGUGAAGAAGGCCUUAUGGUUGUAAAGCACUUUAAGCGAGGAGGAGGCUACUGAGACUAAUACUCUUGGAUAGUGGACGUUACUCGCAGAAUAAGCACCGGCUAACUCUGUGCCAGCCGCCGCGGUAACAC
rnacentral:rRNA from 1 species